rnacentral:tRNA from 1 species
GGAGGGCUCAGUGGUAGAGCACUCACCUAGCAUGUGUGAGGCACUGGGUUCAAUUCUCAGCACCA